CGUUGGCGGCGUGGAUUAGGCAUGCAAGUCGUGCGACGAGGCCCGCAAGGGUGCUCGAGCGGCGAAAGGGAGAGUAAUGCACGGGUAACCUGCCCCUAGGACUGGGAUAGCCGUGGGAAACUGCGGGUAAUACCAGAUGAUGUCUGAUAGCUUCGGCUAUCGGACCAAAGGUGCGAGUCCGCCUAGGGAGGGGCCCGUGUCCUAUCAGCUAGUUGGUGGGGUAACGGCUCACCAAGGCUACGACGGGUACGGGGUGUGAGAGCAUGUCCCCGCUCACUGGGACUGAGACACUGCCCAGA
rnacentral:rRNA from 1 species